UGCAGCUUCACCUACUACAGUGAGUAGCUGCUGGAGGCAGCAUGUGAGACAGUAGCAGAGGCUGCCUGCAGGGACGGGGCAGCAAAGCAGAAGGGAGACUCCAACGCAGUUCACUGAAGGAGCCUAAAAGGGAGCCCCAGGAGAAGGGGACAUCAUCUGUGUGCUAGGAACUGCAACGGUGAUUGCACAGAAGUCACCAAGGAAGACCAGUUCCCUGGCUCCCCAGAGAAGGACUUUGAGCAUGGGCCAGGCCCCGGGCACAUCAAAGCAGAAGAUACAUUCUAGGCAUGGUUGACUUCGCCCAUUUCUCACACAGGCCUGGCGCUAGACACAAGUUCCAAGAUGCAGUCCAUCACUGCAGGGAAGACAAGGUAGCGGGUGUCUGGAGCAACUGGUCACAUCAGGAAGCAAAGAAAGACCGGUGCAUCUUAGUACUCAGCUCCCUUUCUCCAUUUUAUACAGCACAGGAUCUUCUGCCCAGGUAAAAUUGCACCCACCUCCUCCUUGCUGAAGUCUUUACCCACUCCCAGAGUGACUCACAAUCUUCCUGCAGCAAUGCCACUCACGUGUGCCAUUAUGUGCACAUAUCUGGGAACACACAGCAGCUGCUACUGCCCUGGAACCGAAAGAGGAACUGAGAAGUCCUGGCCAGGCUCCUGACCACCGCUUCCUCACAGAACACACCUCACCAACCACCUGGCUGACCCACUUCUGUAAUUUGAUUCACCAUUUCUGAGUCUGCCUUCAGCCCAGGAGGUUGUACCUCAGGCUCACCAGCUGUGGAGUGGGGGAGGGAGGGGCCGGUUGCCACCGUGGAGCAGUUGCUGAGGGAACAACACAGCCAGAAUGAGUGCCAGCCCUGGCCUGCUGUCAAAACCAGUGAGAAGCAGGAGGCAAAAGUAGCGCUCACGUGGCAAGGGCCUGGAAGUGCUGGAGAGAGGUUUGGCAUCCUAAUCCCAGGGAUUCUAUGGAGGACUCUCCAUGGAAAAGACCUUGCCUGGGGGGAGGAUCCAAGCUUCUGUCUUCGGUGGAAGCCAAUAGGGGUGACUGUUUCCAAAAGCCUUGGCCUGUGGGCAGUGGGGAGGAGACAGUUAAACUCCCAGGUCUGGACAUUGUGGCCACAACCAGGCCAAACCCACAAACAGAGAGAGGGUCCCUCUUCCACAGUGCCCGGUCCAGUGAGCUGAGGGGACAGGAAUUCAAAUUCCAAGCUUCUGCCAUGUCUAGGUGGCAAACAGAGCUGCAUAAAUCCAGAAAAAUGGGUGGCGGUGGUCUUUUGUGGGUCACAUACAGGCCCCAGUUCCUCUGGGCUGGAAAAUGAAUAUACAUUGCAGUAGAAAUGUCACCUUUGAUGUUUUUACAGUACGGGGGGGAGGGGGUGUCUUUUUUGUGUGCCAAGAACUUGACACCAUUCCCAUCCAUCCCACAUCACCUUGUGGUGGUACCAUUUUGUUUUCCUCCUCCUCUUCUCCCUCCUCCUCCUCCUUGGUUUUUUUCUUUGUAGCCCUGACUGCCUUGGAACUCACUCUGUAGACCAGACUGGCCUUGAACCCAGAGAUGCCUGCCUCUGCCUCAUGAGUGCUGGGAUUAAAGGCGUGUGCCACCAUGCUCUGCUCAAGUGAUACUGUUUUCAAUUGUCACAGAACAUCCUUGUUCCCAGGGCAAGUACCACCUAAUGAUGGUGAGAUACCUCUUUUCUCUCUGUGAAGGCUUCUUUUGCAGGGCAGAGGAAGGAAAUCGGUCUGGAGAAGCCAGGACAGUGAGAAGCCAGGAGAAAGUGGGGAAAUUACUAAGCACUUCUGUCUGGCUGGAGUAUGGGGAAGGCAGGGAAGGCCAGGAAGCCCUGAGGCUUACGGAACUUUGCAGGAGAGCUGGGGCCCAGGGCUGCCCAGGGCUGCCUGUUUCACUGGAAAAGCAGGGGACGUUGGCCUUGGCUGCACUGACACAUUCCUCUCCACACUGCAUCAGCAGUCUGGAAGAGAGGGUGAACAGGAAGUGGGGCAGGCUCUAGGACCUCAAAGCCCGCCCCCCCAUGAUCCACUUCCUCCAGCAAGGCUGUGCCUCCCACUCUGGCCAUAGCAGGGAGUUUUGAAUGGAUCUUGAAAGAGCAGCUUUUUGCUGGAAUUUGGAAAAGCGGUGACAAGAACCUCAGAAAUGAGACUGCUGAUGCAGUGUGAUAAGUGAACCUCGUGCCGCUGCCACCAGGGUGGACUGUAGACCCUCUGGAACUAUCUUGCAUGGAUUAGAUGGAGUCCAUUGAAUUGGAUAAAGGUGGCUGCUCCUAGCUUGGUACCUAGAUUAAAAUGGCAAUGUUUCAUGUCUAUGAAUGAAAAACACUCAUAAGCAUGCCCAGAAAUAAUACUUUCCAAGCAUUAAUAUAUCCCUUAGUUUUUCAAGCUGACACCUGUAAUUAAAUAUCACAUCCAUCAUGCUCAGUUAGCACCUUCACCCAGCAAUCGAGUGUGAAAAAAGGCUUCACUCUGGCCUCCAAAUAUCUCAUCUAUUCUUACCAGGAGUCCUUGGAUCUCAAUGCUGUUACAGUGUGUUCUGGUUGUUUGUUUGUUUGUUUUUUUCAACUUGACACAAAACUAGACAUAUCUAGGAAAAAAAAAAUCUUAAUUGAGGAAUUUCCUCCAUCAGAUUGGUCUAUAGGCAAGUGUCUUGGGGAAGGGGUUCUUAGUUAAUGAUUGAUGUGGGAGGAUCCAUCUCACUGUAGACAGUGCUACCCGUGGGCAAAUGAUCCCAUGUACUCUAAGAAAGCAGGCUGAGCAAAGAGUGGAGAACAAAUCACUAAGCAGCAUUCUUCCAUGGCUUCUGCUUCUGUUCCUGCUUUCAGGUUCCUGCCUUGA